UACGGGGGGGGCAAGCGUUGUUCGGAAUUACUGGGCGUAAAGGGCGCGUAGGCGGCCUUCUAAGUCGAACGUGAAAUCCCCGGGCUCAACCCGGGAACUGCGUCCGAUACUGGGAGGCUUGAAUCCGGGAGAGGGAUGUGGAAUUCCAGGUGUAGCGGUGAAAUGCGUAGAUAUCGAGAGGAACACCUGCGGCGAAGGCGGGUUGCUGGGCUGACACUGACGCUGAUGCGCGAAAGCUAGGGGAGCGAACGGG
rnacentral:rRNA from 1 species